rnacentral:piRNA from 1 species
CGACUUACGGUAGAAAAAUUAAA